rnacentral:rRNA from 1 species
AGUGAACGCUGGCGGCGUGCUUAACACAUGCAAGUCGAACGAGAACGGAUUAUAGCUUGCUAUAAUUGUCAGCUAAGUGGCGCACGGGUGAGUAAUGUAUAGGUAAUAUGCCUCUUACUAAGGGAUAACAAAUGGAAACGCUUGCUAAUACCUUAUACUCCUUAUUAACAUAAGUUAAUAAGGGAAAGAUUUAUUGGUAAGAGAUUAGCCUGUAUUGUAUCAGUUAGUUGGUGGGGUAAUGGCUUACCAAGACUAUGACACAUAACUGGUUUGAGAGGAUGAUCAGCCACACUGGAACUGAGACACGGUCCAGACUCCUACGGGAGGCAGCAGUGGGGAAUAUUGCACAAUGGACGAAAGUCUGAUGCAGCAACGCCGCGUGGAGGAUGACACAUUUCGGUGCGUAAACUCCUUUUAUAUGAGAAGAUAAUGACGGUAUUAUAUGAAUAAGCACCGGCUAACUCCGUGCCAGCAGCCGCCGUAACAC